GACGAACGCUGGCGGCGUGCUUAACACAUGCAAGUCGAGCGAUGAAGUUCCUUCGGGAAUGGAUUAGCGGCGGACGGGUGAGUAACACGUGGGUAACCUGCCUCAUAGAGGGGAAUAGCCUUCCGAAAGGAAGAUUAAUACCGCAUAAGAUUGUAGUGCCGCAUGGCAUAGCAAUUAAAGGAGCAAUCCGCUAUGAGAUGGACCCGCGUCGCAUUAGCUAGUUGGUGAGGUAACGGCUCACCAAGGCGACGAUGCGUAGCCGACCUGAGAGGGGGAUCGGCCACAUUGGGAGUGAAACACGGCCCAGACUCCUACGGGAGGCAGCAGUGGGGAAUAUUGCACAAUUGGGGAAACCCUGAUGCAGCAACGCCGCGUGAGUGAUGAAGGUCUUCGGAUUGUAAAACUCUGUCUUCAGGGACGAUAAUGACGGUACCUGAGGAGGAAGCCACGGCUAACUACGUGCCAGCAGCCGCAGUAAAAC
rnacentral:rRNA from 1 species